rnacentral:rRNA from 1 species
CCUACGGGAGGCAGCAGUGAGGAAUAUUGGUCAAUGGGAGAGAUCCUGAACCAGCCAAGCCGCGUGAGGGAAGACGGCCCUAUGGGUUGUAAACCUCUUUUGUCGGAGAACAAAACCCGGGACGUGUCCCGGACUGCGUGUAUCCGAAGAAUAAGCAUCGGCUAACUCCGUGCCAGCAGCCGCGGUAAUACGGAGGAUGCGAGCGUUAUCCGGAUUUAUUGGGUUUAAAGGGUGCGUAGGCGGUCCGUUAAGUCAGCGGUAAAAGUGCGGGGCUCAACCCCGUCGAGCCGUUGAAACUGGCAGACUUGAGUUGGCGAGAAGUACGCGGAAUGCGCGGUGUAGCGGUGAAAUGCAUAGAUAGCGCGCAGAACUCCGAUUGCGAAGGCAGCGUACCGGCGCCAGACUGACGCUGAGGCACGAAAGCGUGGGGAUCGAACAGGAUUAGAUACCCUGGUAGUC